rnacentral:lncRNA from 1 species
GUACCUAGAAUAUGGACUUCAUAGACUAAUGACAACCAUUGAUAAAGGUUUAAUAGUUGUCCAAAUUAUCAGGUGAGUAUAACCAGUUUCUUGGAUAGAUGUUUCUAAUUAUCCAAGUGUUGAAUUGUGCUGCUAUAGGUUUGAUAAGGGGUUGUUCAAACUAUCAAGUUAUUUAUCUCAUGCACUUUAUUAUAUACAAGUUGGUUGGUGGUCUC